GACGAACGCUGGCGGCGUGCUUAACACAUGCAAGUCGAACGGAAAGGCCUCUUUCGGGGGGUACUCGAGUGGCGAACGGGUGAGUAACACGUGAGUAACCUGCCCUCGACUUUGGGAUAACUUCAGGAAACUGGGGCUAAUACCGGAUAGGAGCUCCUGCUGCAUGGUGGGGGUUGGAAAGUUUCGGCGGUUGGGGAUGGACUCGCGGCUUAUCAGCUUGUUGGUGGGGUAGUGGCUUACCAAGGCUUUGACGGGUAGCCGGCCUGAGAGGGUGACGGGCGACAUUGGGACUGCGAUAAGGCCCAGAAUCCUACGGGAGGAAGCAGUGGGGAGUAUUGCUCAAUGGGUGGAAGCCUGCUGCAGCAACGCCGUGUGCGGGAUGACGGCGUUCGGGUUGUAAACCGGUUUUGCUAAUGACGAAGCGUUGUGUGACGGUAGUGGGUAAAGAAGCACCGGCUAACUACGUG
rnacentral:rRNA from 1 species